CAGCAGCCGCGGGAAUACAGAGGGUGCGAGCGUUAAUCGGAUUUACUGGGCGUAAAGCGUGCGUAGGCGGUGAGUUAAGUCUGCUGUGAAAUCCCCGGGCUCAACCUGGGAAUGGCAGUGGAUACUGGCUCGCUAGAGUGUGUCAGAGGAUGGUGGAAUUCCCGGUGUAGCGGUGAAAUGCGUAGAGAUCGGGAGGAACAUCAGUGGCGAAGGCGGCCAUCUGGGACAACACUGACGCUGAGGCACGAAAGCGUGGGGAGCAAACAGGAUUAGAUACCCCAGUAGUCCCUGUCUCUUAUAA
rnacentral:rRNA from 1 species